GGGAUAAAGGCUUAAUUGAGUUGAAUUGUAUUAUCAAAGUCUUGAUGCAUGCAUACAGAGUGUGGGCAUUCAGAUGCUGAACAAAACUGAGCAUUAGUGAAAAGAAAGUUCAAAUGGAUGCCACAAAUACUUCGCACAAGAUGACCAAAAACAAAAUGGGGACAGCAUUUUUAUUCUCUCUCUCUCUCUCACUGUGAUUUCUAAUUUUCCAGCAUUUGAGACACAACUAGACAGCACAAGGAGCAUCUGACAGAGAGUCAAAACUCUCCUAAAAAAAUGAACCAUAAUCAGAUGCACAAGAUAUGCAAACAUAUCAACUCACAAAAGCCGUACC
rnacentral:misc_RNA from 1 species